UACGUAGGGUGCAAGCGUUAAUCGGAAUUACUGGGCGUAAAGCGUGCGCAGGCGGCUUUGCAAGACAGAUGUGAAAUCCCCGGGCUUAAUCUGGGAAUUGCAUUUGUGACUGCGAGGCUGGAGUGCGGCAGAGGGGGAUGGAAUUCCGCGUGUAGCAGUGAAAUGCGUAGAUAUGCGGAGGAACACCGAUGGCGAAGGCAACCCCCUGGGCCUGCACCGACGCUCAUGCACGAAAGCGUGGGGAGCAAACAGG
rnacentral:rRNA from 1 species